rnacentral:rRNA from 1 species
GAUCGCUGUGAUGCGGGCGGUUCGCCGCCCGUGACACUGCGAGAAGUCCAUUGAACCUUAUCAUUUAGAGGAAGGAGAAGUCGUAACAAGGUUUCCGUAGGUGAACCUGCGGAAGGAUCAUUGUCGAGACCGAAAUACAUCGAGCGAUUUUGAGAACCCGUCAAAAUAAGAUGCGGCUAUUGCCGCUGCGUUAAAAUCCAUCCCCGUCGUAGCCUCAUUCCCUGUUGGGCGGGGACGCGAUGUAGGAUGGAUGAACCCUCAAACCGGCGCAGCAUCGCGCCAAGGGAAUAUCGAAACACGAGCCCAUAGAUGGGUUUUGUGGCAUGGGGUGCUGUUGCACGCCAUAUGGAUUGACACGACUCUCGGCAAUGGAUAUCUCGGCUCUCGCAUCGAUGAAGAGCGCAGCGAAAUGCGAUACGUGGUGCGAAUUGCAGAAUCCCGCGAACCAUCGAGUAUUUGAACGCAAGUUGCGCCCGAGGCCAACCGGCCAAGGGCACGUCUGCCUGGGCGUCAAGCAUCACGUUGCUCCUUGUCAAUUCACCCAUUGAUGGAUGGGUUGGUGAAGGCUUGGAUGUGCACAGUGGCUCGUCGUGCCCCUCGGUGCGGCGGGCUGAAGAGUGGGUCAUCAUCUUGUUGGCUGCGAAUAAUAUGGGGUGGAAUAAAAUCGGGCCUAUCUUAUUGUGCGUGCAUGCCUUAGAGAUGAUUGUAUUUUUAAGCUUAUCCCAAAUCAUGCGUCCAUCCAUGGAUGGCGUUUUGAAUGCGACCCCAGGAUGGGCGAGGCCACCCGCCGAGUUUAAGCAUAUCAAUAAGCGGAGGAGAAGAAACUUACGAGGAUUCCCCUA